AUCCAGUUGACGAGUCCCAAACAGGACGAAAUGUGCAUCCUGGAU
rnacentral:hammerhead_ribozyme from 1 species